rnacentral:rRNA from 1 species
UAUGUGAUCGUCUCUCGCAUAUCAAUAAGCGGAGGAAAAGAAACUAACAAGGAUUCCCCUAGUAACGGCGAGUGAAGCGGGAAGAGCUCAAAUUUGAAAUCUUAAAGGGUUUCCCUUUACGAAUUGUAGUUUAAAGAAGUGUUUUCUGUUGAGGUUUUGGUAAAAGUUCUUUGGAAUAGGACAUCAUAGAGGGUGAGAAUCCCGUAUUUGACCUUUACUUUCAACUUUGUGAUACACUUUCAAAGAGUCGGAUUGUUUGGGAAUGCAGUCCAAAAUGGGUGGUAAAUUUCAUCUAAAGCUAAAUAUUGGCGAGAGACCGAUAGCGAACAAGUACCGUGAGGGAAAGAUGAAAAGAACUUUGAAAAGAGAGUUAAACAGUACGUGAAAUUGUCAAAAGGGAAGCGUUUGACACCAGUGUUGUUUUUCUGAAAAUCAAUUAAAGAACUGUUUAUGCUAAGCUGUUUAGACUUUAUCAGCUAUCUGUUUAGUUUUGAGCUUUUCUUUAAUGCACUUUUCAGUUAACAAGUCAACAUCAAUUUCUUUUGCUGUAAAAAAGCUUGAGGAAGGUGGCUUGAGAUUCGUCUUAAGUGUUUAUAGCCUCUUGCCUAUGCAGUCGGAGAGAUUGAGGUCUGCAGCGUAGAUCCUUCGGGGCUAAAUGCAUUUGUGCUAAGUUAUAGCAUUUUAUAGACGACUUGUUGACUAUGAUUUGUCUUGUAGCUUACUCGCUUAUGUUAUUUUACCUACGCUUAGGAUGUUGAGCGCAUGUCUCUCUCU